AGUGAACGCUGGCGGUAGGCCUAACACAUGCAAGUCGAACGGCAGCACAGUAAGAGCUUGCUCUUACGGGUGGCGAGUGGCGGACGGGUGAGGCAUACAUCGGAAUCUACUUUUUCGUGGGGGAUAACGUAGGGAAACUUACGCUAAUACCGCAUACGACCUACGGGUGAAAGCAGGAGAUCUUCGGACCUUGCGCGAUUGAAUGAGCCGAUGUCGGAUUAGCUAGUUGGCGGGGUAAAGGCCCACCAAGGCGACGAUACGUAGCUGGUCUGAGAGGAUGAUCAGCCACACUGGAACUGAGACACGGUCCAGACUCCUACGGGAGGCAGCAGUGGGGAAUAUUGGACAAUGGGCGCAAGCCUGAUCCAGCCAUACCGCGUGGGUGAAGAAGGCCUUCGGGUUGUAAAGCCCUUUUGUUGGGAAAGAAAAGCAGCAGGUUAAUACCCCGCUGUUCUGACGGUACCCAAAGAAUAAGCACCGGCUAACUUCGUG
rnacentral:rRNA from 1 species